AUUGAACGCUGGCGGCAGGCCUAACACAUGCAAGUCGAACGAGUGGCGGACUGGUGAGUAAUUUCUGGGAAACUGCCUGAUGGAGGGGGAUACCUACUGGAACCCUUAGCUAAUACCGCAUACCAUCCGUUGUGCCCAGAUGGGAUUCGCUUGUGGGUGGGGUAACGGCUCACCAAGGCGAAGAUCCCUAGCUGGUCUGAGAGGAUGACAGGCAAAACUGGAACUGAGACACGGUCCAGACGCCUACGGGAGGCAGCAGUGGGGAAGAUUGGAAAAUGGGCGAAAGCCGGAUGCAGCAAGGCCGCGUGUAUGAAGAAGGCCUUCGGGUUGUAAAGUACUUUCAGCAGGGAGGCGUUACCCGAAGAAGAAGCACCGGCUAACUCCGUGCCAGCAGCCGCGGUAAUAC
rnacentral:rRNA from 1 species